rnacentral:lncRNA from 1 species
GUAUAUAUCAUAUAUGCAUAUUUUGAUUUGAUUAUAAAAUAUAUGUUAUUCUAUGAAAAAAAUCUUAAUACGAAUUGGAUUUGGACUCUCAGUGUGGCUAUGUUUUGAAUCCUUGAGGAAUAUGCAUUGAUAUACUAACUAUUACUGAGCUCAGGAUUCUAUUUAUGGCCUAGCUACAUAAUAUAAAUAUAGUAUUUCGAUCCCACCAUAGGAUGCAAGUGUAGUAUUUCGAUCCAAUCAUAAAAUAUAAGUGUGAU